UACAGAGGGUGCGAGCGUUGUCCGGAAUCACUGGGCGUAAAGGGCGCGUAGGUGGCCCAGUCAGCGUGCGGUGAAAGCUCGGGGCUCAACCCCGAGUCGGCCGUGCGAACUACUGGGCUGGAGCACUGUAGAGGCAGGCGGAAUUCCGGGUGUAGCGGUGGAAUGCGUAGAGAUCCGGAAGAACACCGGUGGCGAAGGCGGCCUGCUGGGCAGUUGCUGACACUGAGGCGCGACAGCGUGGGGAGCAAACAGG
rnacentral:rRNA from 1 species